rnacentral:rRNA from 1 species
AGCGAACGCUGGCGGCAGGCCUAACACAUGCAAGUCGAACGAAGUCUUCGGACUUAGUGGCGGACGGGUGAGUAACACGUGGGAACGUGCCUUUAGGUUCGGAAUAACUCAGGGAAACUUGUGCUAAUACCGAAUGUGCCCUUCGGGGGAAAGAUUUAUCGCCUUUAGAGCGGCCCGCGUCUGAUUAGCUAGUUGGUGAGGUAAAGGCUAACCAAGGCUACGAUCAGUAGCUGGUCUGAGAGGAUGACCAGCCACAUUGGGACUGAGACACGGCCCAAACUCCUACGGGAGGCAGCAGUGGGGAAUCUUGCGCAAUGGGCGAAAGCCUGACGCAGCCAUGCCGCGUGGAUGAUGAAGGUCUUAGGAUUGUAAAAUCCUUUCACCGGUGUAGAUAAUGACUGUAGCCGGAGAAGAAGCCCCGGCUAACUUCGUGCCAGCCGCCGCAGUAACAC